rnacentral:rRNA from 1 species
GACGAACGCUGGCGGCGUGCUUAACACAUGCAAGUCGAACGGAAAGGCCCUGCUUUUGUGGGGUGCUCGAGUGGCGAACGGGUGAGUAACACGUGAGUAACCUGCCCUUGACUUUGGGAUAACUUCAGGAAACUGGGGCUCAUACCGGAUAGGAGCUCCUGCUGCAUGGUGGGGGUUAGAAAGUUUCGGCGGUUGGGGAUGGACUCGCGGCUUAUCAGCUUGUUGGUGAGGUAGUGGCUUACCAAGGCUUUGACGGGUAGCCGGCCUGAGAGGGUGACCGGCCACAUUGGGACUGAGAUACGGCCCAGACUCCUACGGGAGGCAGCAGUGGGGAAUAUUGCACAAUGGGCGGAAGCCUGAUGCAGCAACGCCGCGUGCGGGAUGACGGCCUUCGGGUUGUAAACCGCUUUCGCCUGUGACGAAGCGUGAGUGACGGUAAUUGGUAAAGAAGCACCGGCUAACUACGUG